rnacentral:rRNA from 1 species
UACAGAGGGUGCAAGCGUUGUUCGGAAUUAUUGGGCGUAAAGGGCGCGUAGGCGGUGCGGUAAGUCUGCGGUGAAAUCUCCCGGCUCAACUGGGAGUCUGCCGUGGAAACUGCCGUGCUUGAGUGUGGGAGAGGUGAGUGGAAUUCCCGGUGUAGCGGUGAAAUGCGUAGAUAUCAAGAGGAACACCAGUGGCGAAGGCGAGUCCCUGGACAACACCUGACACUGAGGCACGAAAGCUAGGGGAGCAAACAGG